rnacentral:rRNA from 1 species
CCUACGGGAGGCUGCAGUCGAGAAUCAUUCACAAUGGGGGAAACCCUGAUGGUGCGACGCCGCGUGGGGGAAUGAAGGUCUUCGGAUUGUAAACCCCUGUCAUGUGGGAGCAAAUUAAAAAGAUAGUACCACAAGAGGAAGAGACGGCUAACUCUGUGCCAGCAGCCGCGGUAAUACAGAGGUCUCAAGCGUUGUUCGGAAUCACUGGGCGUAAAGCGUGCGUAGGCUGUUUCGUAAGUCGUGUGUGAAAGGCGCGGGCUCAACCCGCGGACGGCACAUGAGACUGCGAGACUAGAGUAAGGGAGGGGGAACCGGAAUUCUCGGUGUAGCAGUGAAAUGCGUAGAUAUCGAGAGGAACACUCGUGGCGAAGGCGGGUUCCUGGACAUUAACUGACGCUGAGGCACGAAGGCCAGGGGAGCGAAAGGGAUUAGAUACCCGAGUAGUC